rnacentral:rRNA from 1 species
AGAAAAUAGAUACCCGGGUAGUCCACGCUGUAAACGAUGAUUACUCGAUGUUGGCGAUACACAGUCAGCGUCUGAGCGAAAGCAAUAAGUAAUCCACCUGGGGAGUACGAUCGCAAGAUUGAAACUCAAAGGAAUUGACGGGGGCCCGCACAAGCGGAGGAGCAUGUGGUUUAAUUCGAUGAUACGCGAGGAACCUUACCUGGGCUCGAACGUAAGAUGACUGUAGGUGAAAGCUUACAUCUCUUCGGAGCAUUUUACGAGGUGCUGCAUGGUUGUCGUCAGCUCGUGCCGUGAGGUGUCGGGUUAAGUCCCAUAACGAGCGCAACCCCUACCUUUAGUUGCCAACAGGUCAUGCUGGGGACUCUAAAGGAACUGCCUACGCAAGUAGUGAGGAAGGCGGGGAUGACGUCAAAUCAGCACGGCCCUUACGUCCAGGGCUACACACGUGCUACAAUGGCCGAUACAGAGGGCAGCUACCUGGUGACAGGAUGCAAAUCUCCAAAGUCGGUCUCAGUUCGGAUC